GUCAACUAUUAAAAACACACCAGUUGUAUUUGCUUUCUGUAUAGAAAUACGAAAUGAAAACGUCGCUUGUCUUGGUGUUCAUACUUGGGCUAAUAGCACUGUCAACUUCCCAAAAGUUAAAAGAAUUAGAAGGACUCAAAAAUGUCGUUGACUGUGCAAAUGAGGUAAAAGUUUCACUGGAUGACGUCGUUCUAUAUCUAAAUUCUGGCACAAAAAUAUUAAAAGAUUACAAUAUUAAGUGCUUUUUGAAGUGUUACUUCUAUCGAGAGAUCUUAUUUAAAAUGGCCGCUGAUGAAUUGAAAAAGAGAAACAUAACUGACCCUUGUCUUUUGAUCAAGGAUGCUGAUAAUUGCGAGGAAGGCUCUAAGAAGUUUUUGUGCUAUUACCAAAGAAUCAAAUAAAACUUCUUUAUUUAUUUUUAACUGCAA